GUAUCGCGAAGCCCGGUGCGUACAGCAGCGCGUGGCAAGGAUACUGCGAUGCGUCAUGUUGCAUCGUAUCACAGUUCUUUGUCACCCUUUGCAUCACGCAUAUCCUGCGAUGCGUCGU
rnacentral:precursor_RNA from 9 species